AGUAGCUCAGAGGUAGAGCAUUUGGCUGUUAACCAAGUUGACGUUGGUUCGAUUCCGACC
rnacentral:tRNA from 1 species